rnacentral:tRNA from 1 species
GCGGGUGUAGCUCAGGGGUAGAGCGUCGGCUUCCCAAGCCGUAGGUCGUGGGUUCAAAUCCCAUCGCCCGCUCCA